UACGUAGGGGGCUAGCGUUGUCCGGAUUUAUUGGGCGUAAAGAGCGUGUAGGCGGCCAGGUAGGUCUGCUGUGAAAACUCGAGGCUCAACCUCGAGACGUCGGCGGAAACCAUCUGGCUAGAGUCCGGAAGAGGAGAGUGGAAUUCCUGGUGUAGCGGUGAAAUGCGCAGAUAUCAGGAAGAACACCCGUGGCGAAGGCGGCUCUCUGGGACGGUACUGACGCUGAGACGCGAAGCCGUGGGAGCGAAGC
rnacentral:rRNA from 1 species